rnacentral:rRNA from 1 species
GUUUGAUCCUGGCUCAGAGCGAACGUUAGCGGCAGGCUUAACACAUGCAAGUCGAGCGACAAAGGGGCUUCGGCCCUGAGUAGAGCGGCGGACGGGUGCGUAACACGUGGAUAAUCUGCCUCGUGGCGGGGGAUAACAGUCCGAAAGGACUGCUAAUACCGCAUGUCAGGUCGGAAACCCUGGUUUCUGACGAAAAAGAGGGCGCCCGCAAGGGGCUCUCACCACGAGAUGAGUCCGCGGCCCAUCAGCUAGUUGGCGGUGUAAUAGACCACCAAGGCUAAGACGGGUAGCUGGUCUGAGAGGAUGACCAGCCACACUGGGACUGAGACACGGCCCAGACUCCUACGGGAGGCAGCAGUGGGAAUAUUGGACAAGUGGGCGAAAGCCUGAUCCAGCCAUGCCGCGUGAGUGA